UCCUGCCUACGGGGGGCAGCAGUGAGGAAUAUUGGUCAAUGGGCUUACGCCUGAACCAGCCAAGUCGCGUGAGGGAAGACUGCGCUAUGGGUUGUAAACCUCUUUUGUCAGGGAGCAAUUGGCGCUACGUGUAGCGUUAUCGAGAGUACCUGAAGAAAAAGCAUCGGCUAACUCCGUGCCAGCAGCCGCGGUAAUACGGAGGAUGCGAGCGUUAUCCGGAUUUAUUGGGUUUAAGGGAGCGUAGAUGGGUUGUUAAGUCAGUUGUGAAAGUUUGCGGCUCAACCGUAAAAUUGCAAUUGAUACUG
rnacentral:rRNA from 1 species